GUUUUAAGCCAUGUUUUCAUGUACAUCUUUUUCACUGAUCACUAGCCACCCGUUUUUUGUACGUUCCUUAUCAGAUUUAUUCUAUUAGUUAGGGUUUAUUAAGGAGAUUAUUAGUUUUAGCAAAGUACAAGACCAACAUCAAUGGAAAACUUGUGCAUUCUUUUCGUUCUGUUGUUAUGGGUUGGAUCAGGGAUUGCAGCCUCUCACUUCACUGUUAACUAUAUUCCAGGGUUUCAAGGGCCACUUCCCUUUGAACUUCAAACUGGAUAUGUUGGUGUCGAUGAAUCAGAAGACGUACAGCUCUUCUACUACUUCAUUAAGUCACAGGGGAAUCCUAAAGAAGACCCUCUCUUGCUUUGGCUAACCGGUGGCCCUGGCUGCUCUGCCUUGUCUGGUCUUCUUUAUGAAAUUGGUCCAAUCACUUUUGAGGUGGUGGAGUACAAUGGGAGCUUGCCUACAUUGGUCCUGAAUCCACAUUCAUGGACGCAGGUGGCCAGCAUAAUAUUCGUAGAUAUGCCUGUUGGCACUGGAUUUUCCUAUGCAAGAACCCAACUUGCUUCUCAUUCAACUGACUUGAUUCAAGUUCGCCAAGCAGAUCAAUUUCUUAGAAAGGUAAUUACUUGAUAUCAUACUAGUCAUAAUUUUUGUUGUUGAUAUUACGAAUUUUAAUUUCUUUUUGCGUCAUGUAGUGGCUAAUGGAUCAUCCAGAAUUCCUGUCGAACCCUGUCUAUAUCGCAGGGGACUCCUACUCUGGGAUUACCAUUCCAGCUAUAACUCAAAAAGUCUCAGAUGGUAUGGCAUUGAGGGACAGAAACAUGGAAAUGUCAAAUACACCUAUUAUCAUGAAGUGAACUUUAAAUUGUUUGAAAUCAUCUUUUUCUUGCUUUUCUAUGUUCAUGCAGGGAACGAAGAGGGUAUGGAUCCACCAAUAAAUGUGAAGGGAUAUAUUAUAGGGAAUGGUGGUGCAGAUAUAAGUUUUGAUGCCAACUCAAAGAUCCCAUUUGCUCAUGGAAUGGGUCUUAUUUCUGAUGAACUCUAUGAGGUGAUUUGCAUCCUUGCUUGAAUCCCAAAAGUUCUCAGUGAUCUCCUGGGGGGAAAAAAUAAAAGAAGUGGUUUUGAAAAGAAAGAAAAUCUUGGUAUUAUGUCUAACUAGUCCACUAUUUGUUCCAGUCAUUAAAGAGAAGUUGUGGAGAAGAAUAUGUGAAUAUAGACCCCAACAAUACCGUGUGCUUGAAACACAUGCAGGAUUUUAACGAGGGUCUUUAUGGGCUCUUUCCUAAUCACAUCUUGGAACCCAUUUGUGGUUUUGCUUCUCCAAAGCCAUUUCAGAUACUUGAUAAAAGAUCUCUCAGCGACAACUCUCAAGACAUCCUUGAAAUCGAUCCAUUUUUUCCAACAAUUGGCUGUCGUGUAACUUCACAAUUAAUGAUGAACUCAAUUUUGUGUUCUACCAAUAUAGUAACUUCUACGAUUGGCACUCCAUUCUAAUUUUUAGCUUUGUUUUGAUUCCUAUAGAGUUAUGCAUACCUGCUUUCUUAUAUUUGGGCCGGUGACAACAGUGUUCGUGAAGCACUUCAUAUACGAGAGGUAUGAGUCUGAUAAUUGAAAGUUAAAACUUCCAAAAUUAGCGAAAGAACAAUUCAAAACUCCGUUCGAGUGCAGGGAAGCAUAAAGCAAUGGCAGCGAUGCAACUAUGGAAUACCUUAUACUUCUGACAUUCCAAGCAGUAUCAAGUAUCAUUUAUACCUUAGCAAGAAAGGCUACCGCUCAUUAAUCUAUAGGUUAGAUUAUUCUUAGUUGGUUUAUUGAUUUUAAUACCACAAAGCUUUUUAUGGUUAGUGAAUUGCAUCGUCUCUCAUUAAUUUGAAACAGUGGCGAUCAUGACAUGGUUGUGCCAUUCUUGGGAACUCAAGCAUGGAUAAGAUCUCUAAACUAUUCAAUUCUUGAUGAUUGGAGACCGUGGCUGGUUGAAGGCCAAGUUGCAGGGUAGGCUCCGAACAUGAAUCUUAAUUCCGAUACCUCGAAUCUAUGGUUUAUAUAUAUAUUCUUGUUCUUUUUCCUUCAGUACUAGAAUAGGAAAACAAAUGUGUGUUUUGGACAUUUGACUUGUAUAGGUACACAAGGACUUACUCUAAUCGGAUGACAUUUGCAACUGUGAAGGUAACCAUUAACCAACUUCUCCAUUUCCACAGUAUUAUUUACAGGUUUCUUUUCAUAAUUGUCCGGUUAAUGUGCAGGGUGCGGGGCACACAGCUCCAGAAUACAAGCCUGAAGAAUGUUUAGCCAUGCUCAAAAGGUGGAUAAAUCGGGAGCCUUUGUAAUUAUGUGCAUCAAAAGCCCUAAUAUAGAAAAUGCUAAUUGCCUAGCUUCCAAAAUAACGACGACCAAUUAGUUAUAUUAUACACCUUUAAGGAAAUGUGAGAAUAGUAAGCCAUUUCUUAAAUAAUAUUCAAUCUCAACAUUUCUGUAUUCUGCUCUUUAAAUGAUGAUGUGGAUCAAUGCAAUUUGAUGGUACGCCUACAGCACUCAAAAUGAACCGAUUGCAGAGAUGUGCACUCAGAUAACUUCCAUCUUGCAGAUAAAUCGAAGUUUGUUAUCCAUUGAUGUAUUUAUCUUGUGUCUUUUAAGUGUUUGAGUGUCCGCGAAAAAUUCAAUCACACAAGGCUUCCUUCUUACUUGUCCCGCAAUUCCCUCUUUGGAAGUAAAUCAGGCCUUCUGAAUCUGAAUCUCAACCUUAUG
rnacentral:misc_RNA from 1 species